rnacentral:rRNA from 1 species
GUAACACCCGAAGUCCGUGAGGUAACCGUAAGGAGCCAGCGGCCGAAGGUGGGAUUAGUGAUUGGGGUGAAGUCGUAACAAGGUAGCCGUAGGAGAACCUGCGGCUGGAUCACCUCCUUUCUAAGGAGA